rnacentral:rRNA from 2 species
ACCAAGGCAACGAUGCGUAGCCGACCUGAGAGGGUGAUCGGCCACACUGGAACUGAGACACGGUCCAGACUCCUACGGGAGGCAGCAGUAGGGAAUCUUCCGCAAUGGACGAAAGUCUGACGGAGCAACGCCGCGUGAGUGAUGAAGGUCUUCGGAUCGUAAAGCUCUGUUGUUAGGGAAGAACAAAUGUGUAAGUAACUGUGCACAUCUUGACGGUACCUAACCAGAAAGCCACGGCUAACUACGUGCCAGCAGCCGCGGUAAUACGUAGGUGGCAAGCGUUAUCCGGAAUUAUUGGGCGUAAAGCGCGCGUAGGCGGUUUUUUAAGUCUGAUGUGAAAGCCCACGGCUCAACCGUGGAGGGUCAUUGGAAACUGGAAAACUUGAGUGCAGAAGAGGAAAGUGGAAUUCCAUGUGUAGCGGUGAAAUGCGCAGAGAUAUGGAGGAACACCAGUGGCGAAGGCGGCUUUCUGGUCUGCAACUGACGCUGAUGUGCGAAAGCGUGGGGAUCAAACAGGAUUAGAUACCCUGGUAGUCCACGCCGUAAACGAUGAGUGCUAAGUGUUAGGGGGUUUCCGCCCCUUAGUGCUGCAGCUAACGCAUUAAGCACUCCGCCUGGGGAGUACGGUCGCAAGACUGAAACUCAAAGGAAUUGACGGGGACCCGCACAAGCGGUGGAGCAUGUGGUUUAAUUCGAAGCAACGCGAAGAACCUUACCAAAUCUUGACAUCCUUUGACCGCUCUAGAGAUAGAGUUUUCCUCUUCGGAGGACAAAGUGACAGGUGGUGCAUGGUUGUCGUCAGCUCGUGUCGUGAGAUGUUGGGUUAAGUCCCGCAACGAGCGCAACCCUUAAGCUUAGUUGCCAUCAUUAAGUUGGGCACUCUAGGUUGACUGCCGGUGACAAACCGGAGGAAGGUGGGGAUGACGUCAAAUCAUCAUGCCCCUUAUGAUUUGGGCUACACACGUGCUACAAUGGACAAUACAAAGGGCAGCGAAACCGCGAGGUCAAGCAAAUCCCAUAAAGUUGUUCUCAGUUCGGAUUGUAGUCUGCAACUCGACUACAUGAAGCUGGAAUCGCUAGUAAUCGUAGAUCAGCAUGCUACGGUGAAUACGUUCCCGGGUCUUGUACACACCGCCCGUCACACCACGAGAGUUUGUAACACCCGAAGCCGGUGGAGUAACCAUUUGGAGCUAGCCGUCGAAGGUGGGACAAAUGAUUGGGGUGAAGUCGUAACAAGGUAGCCGUAUCGGAAGGUGCGGCUGGAUCACCUCCUUUCUAAGGAUAUAUACGGAAUUAUCACCUAAGGUGAUA